rnacentral:rRNA from 1 species
CAGGCUUAACGCAUGCAAGUCGAGGGGCAGCAUUUUAGUUUGCUUGCAAACUGAAGAUGGCGACCGGCGCACGGGUGAGUAACACGUAUCCAACCUGCCGAUAACUCCGGAAUAGCCUUUCGAAAGAAAGAUUAAUACCGGAUAGCAUACGAAUAUCGCAUGAUAUUUUUAUUAAAGAAUUUCGGUUAUCGAUGGGGAUGCGUUCCAUUAGUUUGUUGGCGGGGUAACGGCCCACCAAGACUACGAUGGAUAGGGGUUCUGAGAGGAAGGUCCCCCACAUUGGAACUGAGACACGGUCCAAACUCCUACGGGAGGCAGCGGUGAGGAAUAUUGGUCAAUGGGCGAGAGCCUGAACCAGCCAAGUAGCGUGAAGGAUGAAGGCUCUAUGGGUCGUAAACUUCUUUUAUAUGGGAAUAAAGUUUUCCACGUGUGGAAUUUUGUAUGUACCAUAUGAAUAAGGAUCGGCUAACUCCGUGCCAGCAGCCGCGGUAAUACGGAGGAUCCGAGCGUUAUCCGGAUUUAUUGGGUUUAAAGGGAGCGUAGGUGGAUUGUUAAGUCAGUUGUGAAAGUUUGCGGCUCAACCGUAAAAUUGCAGUUGAAACUGGCAGUCUUGAGUACAGUAGAGGUGGGCGGAAUUCGUGGUGUAGCGGUGAAAUGCUUAGAUAUCACGAAGAACUCCGAUUGCGAAGGCAGCUCACUAGACUGUCACUGACACUGAUGCUCGAAAGUGUGGGUAUCAAACAGGAUUAGAUACCCUGGUAGUCCACACAGUAAACGAUGAAUACUCGCUGUUUGCGAUAUACAGUAAGCGGCCAAGCGAAAGCAUUAAGUAUUCCACCUGGGGAGUACGCCGGCAACGGUGAAACUCAAAGGAAUUGACGGGGGCCCGCACAAGCGGAGGAACAUGUGGUUUAAUUCGAUGAUACGCGAGGAACCUUACCCGGGCUUAAAUUGCAACAGAAUAUAUUGGAAACAGUAUAGCCGUAAGGCUGUUGUGAAGGUGCUGCAUGGUUGUCGUCAGCUCGUGCCGUGAGGUGUCGGCUUAAGUGCCAUAACGAGCGCAACCCUUAUCUUUAGUUACUAACAGGUUAUGCUGAGGACUCUAGAGAGACUGCCGUCGUAAGAUGUGAGGAAGGUGGGGAUGACGUCAAAUCAGCACGGCCCUUACGUCCGGGGCUACACACGUGUUACAAUGGGGGGUACAGAAGGCGGCUACCUGGUGACAGGAUGCUAAUCCCAAAAACCUCUCUCAGUUCGGAUCGAAGUCUGCAACCCGACUUCGUGAAGCUGGAUUCGCUAGUAAUCGCGCAUCAGCCAUGGCGCGGUGAAUACGUUCCCGGGCCUUGUACACACCGCCCGUCAAGCCAUGAAAGCCGGGGGUACCUGAAGUACGUAACCGCAAGGAGCGUCCUAGGGUAAAACUGGUAAUUGGGGCUAAGUC